rnacentral:tRNA from 1 species
GCGGACGUGGCGAAAUCGGUAGACGCCCGAGACUUAAAAUCUUGUGCCUAAUGGCGUACCGGUUCGAGUCCGGUCGUCCGCACCA